AAAUAAACACACUUCCUGCAGCUGUCCUCCCCAUCAGAACACAGGAUGUUUCUCUUCACAACUAAAUAAGUGAUGAAAUAGAUGAAAUGAUCAUCCACAGCAGCACGGCAGGCUGUGAGCUCAUUCACAACCCCCCUCACAACUUCUUCUCUCCAAAGAAUGGAGCUGUCAUGCUGCUCAGCCCUAUGUGAAGGCUCAUUUCCUCCCAGCAUCAUCCAGAGGACAACAAAUGGCCAGAAAACACUGUUCUCCAGAUAGGAACUCAUACGUGGAGAUAGCCGGGGGGGGCAGAGACUAUGAGAGUGACGCUGUGAGGAGAGAGACCACCAAUCAGCUGGAAGACCUGCGUUAUCAGCCCCAUGUGUUGGGAAGCAUCAAGCUGAAUACCACCUCAGUGGGGAUAAUGUCCUGUGACACUGAAGUUGCCAGGUCAGGUGGAGCCAAAUGACACG